GGGCCAUACAUAGCUCAGCGGUAGAGAAUCUGCUUUGCAUACAGAAACUCCCAAAUUCAAUCCUUGGCAUAUCCA